GUAGGCGGUUAGUAAAGCGAAUAGUGAAACCUGGUGGCUCAACCAUACAGACUAUUAUUCGAACUCACUAACUCGAGAAUGGUAGAGGUAACUGGAAUUUCUAGUGUAGGAGUGAAAUCCGUAGAUAUUAGAAGGAACACCAAUGGCGUAGGCAGGUUACUGGACCAUUUCUGACGCUAAGGCACGAAAGCGUGGGGAGCGAACCGGAUUAGAUACCCGGGUAGUCCACGCCGUAAACGAUGGAUACUAGCUGUUGGAGGUAUCGACCCCUUCAGUAGCGAAGCUAACGCGUUAAGUAUCCCGCCUGUGGAGUACGGCCGCAAGGCUAAAACAUAAAGGAAUUGACGGGGACCCGCACAAGCGGUGGAUUAUGUUCUUUAAUUCGAUGAUAACCGAAGAACCUUACCAGGGUUUGAAAUCCCGAGAAUUAAUCCGAAAGGAUUGAGUGCUUUAUUGAACUCGGUGACAGAUGUUGCAUGGCCGUCGUCAGCUCGUGUCGUGAGAUGUUUGGUUAAGUCCAUCAACGAGCGCAACCCUUGUCAGUAGUUGUAUUUUUCUACUGAAACUGCCCCGGCAACGGGGAGGAAGGAGGGGAUGAUGUCAGGUCAGUAUUACUCUUACAUCCUGGGCUAGAAACGUAAUACAAUGGCUGGUACAAUGCGUCGCGAAGCCGCGAGGUGAAGCAAAUCGCAUCAAAGCCAGUCCCAGUUCGGAUUGGAGGCUGAAACUCGCCUCCAUGAAGUCGGAAUCGCUAGUAAUCGCAGAUCAGCAAGCUGCGGUGAAUACGUUCCCGGGUCUUGUACACACCGCCCGUCAAACCAUGAAAGUGACCAACACCCGAAGUCCGAUUCGUCGGCCUAAGGUGGGGGGCAUGAUUGGGGUU
rnacentral:rRNA from 1 species